UACAGGGGGUGCAAACGUUGCUCGGAAUUAUUGGGCGUAAAGCGCGCGUAGGCGGCUACCUAAGUCGGAUGUGAAAGCCCCUGGCUUAACUGGGGAAGUGCACCCGAAACUGGGUAGCUAGAGUGCAAAAGAGGGUCGCGGAAUUCCCAGUGUAGAGGUGAAAUUCGUAGAUAUCGGGAGGAACACCGGUGGCGAAGGCGGCGACCUGGGUCGACACUGACGCUGAGGCGCGAAAGCGUGGGGAGCAAACAGG
rnacentral:rRNA from 1 species